rnacentral:lncRNA from 1 species
CUCUCAUUCUGGGUGCUUGGGGGAGCAACAAUGCCUGGGAAGGGAAGAGAAUGUAUUGGUUGGAUAUGUGGAGAAGCAGUUCUCAGGCUCAGUUCUUUCCCACCAGAGGCAGGGAGUGGCACAAGCACCAAAGCAUGGAGGGCAGUAAGACUUUGUCCUACCUUCUGGCUGAAGCUGGACCCAAAAGCUGAAAGCAUGGGGAUCUUACACUGGACCAGCAUUUGUGUCAAAUCUAGCUGCAAUGCCUGAGUCCCCCAAGCUGCCUCUCAUCUGUGAAUCACCUUUCAUUUGUUUCUACCCAUGCAGCUGCUAUUUUUUAUUUAGUCUAAUUUUAGCAUAUCUACCAGCAGCUGCAAAUGUAAAUGGUCCCCUUUGGUAUCCAGCACGCCCAAUUAGAGAAGUGGCCCACAUGAGGUAUGUUGGUUUCCCCCGCUCCACAUAACUUUAAAAAUAGACAAGUAAUUAACAGUUUCUGCAAAGUAUGAUGUUAUUACAAACUGUGUUGCAUGAUUGUAUGGGGUUUAAUUUUUUUUCUGAUAAAUUCUGAGCACAAAGUGUAAAGUUACACACAAAUAUUUCCUUUCAGAAUUGGGAAACCAAGGACUUUGUCCCUGAGCUGCCACAUUGGACCAGGAAAUUGAAGCUCACUGGGAGCACAGAAACAGGGCAGAAAAACAGACUUCUGGCAGUGAGUGAAACUUCCAUGUGAUGGUGUGUUUACUUCUUAGGAAAGGAAAUGAAACAUCUAGGAGGAAAAAGGGAUGAUGAAAGAAAAAUUCAG